AGUUAGCCCAGGGAGGAAGGGGACAGAAUGACAGCAUGGUUAUAUCAAUGGUCCAAUUCUUGGUUCCAACCCUUGAUUGUCCUUCGAGAGCACCACCCAUUCCUUACAACACAUCUCUCCGCUUCAUUUUGGGAGUUUUGAAGUUAUUAAAGUUAUUGAUUUCUUUUCCUUACAACCAAAAUAAUCUAAAUUAAGAUUGUGGCCAAGUUUGGAUUAAAACCUGCCUCCCGGCUCCAAGACCCAUGUUUUUCUAUCAUGCUGACUGGCAGCAAAGACGUCUUCCCAUGGAUUUUUCAGAACUCUGUUCUUUAAAUGUGACCUUAGAUGCACCAGACUCAUGCCAUCCAAAGGUUGGAGGUACUGCCCAGUUUUAGCAAUGAAAGUCCCACGUCACGGGAAACCUCUGAGUCCUGGACAAAUCAAGAUGACAUUUUCUAUGCAUAUGCAAGCAUGUCACCAGGAGCAGAGCACAGAGGGACAACACAGCUUUUGCGCUUCCAGCUGGCUCCCAUCAAGAAGUUAGAAGGGAGCCUGCAA
ensembl:lncRNA LINC02520 long intergenic non-protein coding RNA 2520